UAGAGGCUUUUGGAACUGGGAUCUAGCAGGCUGCUUCUGAUAGGCACAGCAUGAGGCUGUAAGUAAUUGGGCCUUUGGGAGAAGUGGUGCCUGGGACAGAGCUGCUGCCUAGCUUGGAUCCUCAUACACACUUUCUACAGAGAAUCUCCUCUACAGCUGCAGUUCUUCAAACUCAGCUAUGAACUGAGGACAAAAAUCUGUGUUCUUGAAGAAAAGAGUUUCCUUAGUGAUCAAAACCAUGUGGACUUCAUCCAGACUCCUUCCCGUUUCUCUCCCACAGAGGGGGCCAGUAAUAUAAGCUGAGAGCAGAUCUACAAGAGGAGAGCCUGAAUUGAUGGAUCUCUGCUAUCUCAACAGCAUGUUCCCCUUCUUUCCAGCCCCAUAGAUACUGCUCCAGCAGCUCCACUGGUGAGGAGAGUUGGAGAGGCCAGAGUUUGGACUUGCAUAACCCUCAGUAGACGGGCUUCCCAGAACAUUGCACCCAUGGCGAGAGCACCGGAAUAGAGCCUGUGAGAUUUUUACAGCCAUGAGGUGAGUGUGCGAAAUGCUCAGAUAGCCAAGAAGUGGUUUCUACUGCAACACCAGUGACGGGAACAAAUGAGACCGGAGGAAACGAAGAUUGCCAGUGGCAAACAGAAGAUAAGAAUACCUCCAAUUGCUGUCUUCCCAGAUGUGGCCAGUUCAGCUGACC